GACGAACGCUGGCGGCGUGCUUAACACAUGCAAGUCGAACGAUGAACCGGUUUCGGCCGGGGAUUAGUGGCGAACGGGUGCGUAACACGUGGGCAAUCUGCCCUGCACUCUGGGAUAAGCCCGGGAAACUGGGUCUAAUACCGGAUACGACACUCCGAGGCAUCUUGGGGUGUGGAAAGUUCCGGCGGUGCAGGAUGAGCCCGCGGCCUAUCAGCUUGUUGGUGGGGUAAUGGCCUACCAAGGCGACGACGGGUAGCCGGCCUGAGAGGGUGACCGGCCACACUGGGACUGAGACACGGCCCAGACUCCUACGGGAGGCAGCAGUGGGGAAUAUUGCACAAUGGGCGAAAGCCUGAUGCAGCGACGCCGCGUGAGGGAUGACGGCCUUCGGGUUGUAAACCUCUUUCAGCAGGGAAGAAGCGAAAGUGACGGUACCUGCAGAAGAAGCACCGGCUAACUACGUG
rnacentral:rRNA from 1 species